rnacentral:lncRNA from 1 species
UUAGAAUUUAGGAUUUGGAUUAGGAUUUGAUUUAGGGUUUAGGGUUUGGUUUAGGAUUUAGGAUUUAGGAUUUAGGAUUUGGAUUAGGAUUUGAUUUAGGGUUUAGAAUUUGGUUUAGGAUUUGGAAUUUAGGAUUUAUUUAGGAUUUAGGAUUUGGUUAGGGUUUGGUUUAGGAUUUAGUUAGGGUUUUAUUUAGGAUUUAGGAUUUGAUUAGGAUUUGAUUUAGGAUUUGGUUAGGAUUUGAUUUAAGGUUUAUUUAGGAUUUGAUUUAGGAUUUAGGAUUUUAUUAGGAUCUAAGAUUCAAUUAGUUUUGGCCUAAAGUUUGAAUGAAGUUCAAUAGGAUUUUAACUAGAAUUAAAUUAAGAUUGAAUUGAGAUGUAUUUGAGUGAUAUUUGUGAUCCUUCUAAUAUUUCUUUAAGAAUUCUUAUUAUUUGUUUGAAAUUUCUUUGAGGUUUUUUUGAAUUUGAUUAAGCUUGCUUAGCAUUAUUAUGGUCUAAUUAGAGCAUUGUUAGUAUUCUAUUAGAAUUAGGAUUUUGUUAUUGCAAUUUCCAUUCUUCCUUCCACAGCCAGGUGCUCGGAGCAUUCUCAAGCAAGUCUUCACAUAUUAUGACAAUGUCUUUUUAAUAAGUCUAUAAAUAGGUAUACAAAGUUUUAUAGAAAAAUAAAUUAUGAUUUUUGAGAAAUAAAGAUUUAAAAAAGGAGAAGAGGUCCUGCUAUAAGCUUAUAG